GUAGGUGGCAAGCGUUGUCCGGAAUUAUUGGGCGUAAAGCGCGCGCAGGUGGGUUCUUUAAGUCUGAUGUGAAAGCCCCCGGGCUCAACCGGGGAGGGACAUUGGAAACUGGGGAACUUGAGUGCAGGAGAGGAAAGUGGAAUUCCACGUGUAGCGGUGAAAUGCGUAGAUAUGUGGAGGAACACCAGUGGCGAAGGCGACUUUCUGGCCUGUAACUGACACUGAGGCGCGAAAGCGUGGGGAGCAAACAGGAUUAGAUACCCUGGUAGUCCACGCCGUAAACGAUGAGUGCUAAGUGUUGGGGGGUUUCCGCCCCUCAGUGCUGCAGCUAACGCAUUAAGCACUCCGCCUGGGGAGUACGGUCGCAAGACUG
rnacentral:rRNA from 1 species